GAGUGUGUGUGUGCUGGUGUGUAAAAUAUACAUGCUUUGUGGUUAUUUUCAAUAUGGUUAUUCAUAAAAAUAGUGAUUUUGACACAUGCAAAUGUUAGCAUUUCCGAUAUGACUUACCCAGAAUAUGAAACAACUUGAGUGUGGAUUAUUUGACAGGCAUACAGAUCUCUCUACAACCGUCGAAAUAUUUUCUCCUAUUUGCUAAUUUAUGUAUGUGGGAUUGGAGAUAGAAAAGUAUUUAAGAGUCGCAAAUAUUCUGUGAUAUCGUUAUUGUAUGCUUAGCCUGCCAAACAAGAUGGGAGCCAUGAAGAUAGUACUUUGUUUUGCUCUUGUGUUUGUUGUAUUUUCCGCCAUUGCUGAAGCAGGUAGUUAUGGUGCCAACGUGCAAGGUAUUGGUGGGUACUAUCAACCCCGUCAACAGGUAUAUUCCUACUACCAACCUGCCCGUGUUCAGUAUUAUACCACUGGCAUGAACAGAGGAUACAACACUGGAAUGGGCGUAGGCGCCGGGUCAGGCAAUUUAGUGGGAUCCGCCCUACCUAUUAUUAUCAUCAUCAUCCUGUGCGGAAUUCUUGCUCCAGUCUUGAUUGGAAGUCUUGUCUCCUCGAAUGAUAUGGUGUUUAGUGGUAGCGAUUAAAUGGAUUGGUGAACUGGAAAAGGGAAAAUCGAUAGGACUAGCCCGCAUUUCACAGUGUACAUAUUCUCAAAAUAAACUGCAUUAUACAGUU